GGAUUUCUCUGUGUAGCUCUGGCUGUUCUGGAACUCACUCUGUAGACCAGGCUGGCCUCAAACUCAGAGCUCCGCCUGCCUCUGCCUCUGGAGUGCUGGGAUUAAAGGCGUGCGCCACCAGUGCCC
rnacentral:miRNA from 1 species